GGGGAAUUUUGGACAAUGGGGGCAACCCUGAUCCAGCAAUGCCGCGUGAGUGAAGAAGGCCCUCGGGUUGUAAAGCUCUUUUGUCAGGGAAGAAACGGAGUUCUCUAAUAUAGGAUUCUAAUGACGGUACCUGAAGAAUAAGCACCGGCUAACUACGUGCCAGCAGCCGCGGUAAUACGUAGGGUGCAAGCGUUAAUCGGAAUUACUGGGCGUAAAGCGUGUGCAGGCGGUUUUGUAAGUCUGAUGUGAAAUCCCCGGGCUCAACCUGGGAACUGCAUUGGAGACUGCAAGGCUAGAGUGUGUCAGAGGGGGGUAGAAUUCCACGUGUAGCAGUGAAAUGCGUAGAGAUGUGGAGGAAUACCGAUGGCGAAGGCAGCCCCCUGGGAUAACACUGACGCUCAUGCACGAAAGCGUGGGGAGCAAAC
rnacentral:rRNA from 1 species